UCUGGGCUCGUACCGGAGCUUCGGAAAGCAGAGUGUGUGUGGUGGCUCACGGCGACAUAAGCUAGAAUGUCUAUCGUCUGGGGAAUUAAAUACAUUGGAGAAGUACUCAGCAAAUCCAGCAGCAAUUUCUUGCUGUGUUUCAAGACGCCUGUCGAGGGACAAACUUAUCCAAAACUUCAUACAGUUUGGAAUAAAAGAAAGCACAGGCUGCGUUCACAUUAGUCUGUUGUCGAAGGAAGGACCAAUCAACAUUCUGAAGGGCUUCAUAUAGAGCGGUAAAGUUAGCUGGACCAAAGUUAUAUUGUUUAACGUCAUCAUAUAGUUGAGUUUUGAAGAGUUUGAAAUGUUUCAUUUCUAGUGAAAUAGCUAAGGAUG